rnacentral:rRNA from 1 species
AGUACGUGAAACCGUUCAGGGGUAAACCUGAGAAACCCAAAAGAUCGAAUGGGGAGAUUCAUCGUCAGCUCGUUAUGUAUAUGUAUGAGUUAUGAUGCGNNAGUUACUCUUNNGUAGUAUUGCUNUGCACGUACUUGUAUGUUUAUUUGCAAAAUGUUGUCGGCGUGCACUUCUCCCCUAGUAGAACGUCGCGACCCGUUGGGUGUUGGUCUACGACCCGAGNUGGGAGACUUUAAUAUUNNUUANNUUAUAUUAAAGACCCUUGGUGUUNUUCUGACCAGCUGCCCGGCGGUACUCGUACGGUAUUUAGCCGCAUNUUNANNNUUUGCGUCCAUGUCUGUCGCAAGCGCGGUUAACUUCUGGUAGUNACGGACCUAGUGCCGUCGCUGGGGUUGACCAGCUGUUGGUUGUNACAGAAUUCUAGGACUGGCUAAAAAAUAAUNNUACCGGUCGGCGAUGCUACUGCU